rnacentral:lncRNA from 1 species
CAGAGUGUGGGAAGAGAUUCAGUCGUCUUCGUGAUAUGAAGAGGCACAAAAUGAUACAUGCAGAUAAUAGGCUAAACACUUAGAGUGUGGAAGGUAAUUAAGAGAACGUUGAAGGAUAAUGAGGGACAUAUAGGUAUAUUAACUUAACUUUAAUCUAACAGUGUGCUAUCACAAUGUCAGUUGGAUGUUCUUCAAAGGAACACCACUUGAAUAUGGCGUCGCUUGUAUGGGUGUGGCGGCGAAGUGAUCUGGCCGCAGUGGUGCGACCCAUCGUGGCUGUACUGAUUUACGUGCUGGAUGAUCCCAGAAGCACCUUAGUCAGACCUUAGCGUGCAUCUUAGCCCGGACACAAGUUCGAACCCUCAUUACGGCCUUUGUGGAUGUGUUCAUUAAAUGUAUAAUGAUAUUGUGAUUUCUGUAUCACAAGUGAUGUUCUUUUCCUUAAGAAUGUAUUCCAUGAUUUGUAUACAGAUAAAGGUUUGAUUGUUAACAGUUGUGUACCUCAACUUGUCUUGAUAAUAAACAAUAAAAGUA